rnacentral:rRNA from 1 species
GACGAACGCUGGCGGCGUGCUUAACACAUGCAAGUCGAACGGAAAGGCCCUGCUUUCGUGGGGUGCUCGAGUGGCGAACGGGUGAGUAACACGUGAGUAACCUGCCCUUGACUUUGGGAUAACUUCAGGAAACUGGGGCUAAUACCGGACAGGAGCCCCCGCUGCAUGGUGGGGGUUGGAAAGUUUCGGCGGUCGGGGAUGGACUCGCGGCUUAUCAGCUAGUUGGUGGGGUAGUGGCUUACCAAGGCUUUGACGGGUAGGCGGCCUGGGAGGGUGACCGGCCACAUUGGGCCUGAGAUACGGCCCAGUCUCGUACGGGAGACAACAGUGGGGAGUAUUGCACAGUGGGCGGGAGCCUGAUACGGAGACGCCGCGUGCGGGAUGACGGCCUUCGGGUUGUGAACCGCAUUCGCCUGUGACGAAGCGUGAGUGACGGUAAUGGGUAAAGAAGCACCGGCUAACUACGUG